UCAUGUUUGUGGGGAGCAAACCCACGACCAAAGUUGUUCGCCCCAACUCGUGUCUGUGAAGAGCAAACCCACGACCAAAGUCGUUCGCCCCAACCCGUGAUAGGUAAUCCACGAGGAGGGGAAUCACACUCGUGUCUAUGGGGAGAAAACCCACGACCAAAGCCGUUCGCCCCAACUCGUGAUAGGUAUAAUCCACGGGGAGGGGAAUCACACUCGUGUCUAUGGGAAGCAAACCCACGACCAAAGCCAUUCACCCAAACUCGUGACGGGUUUUGGGAAAGUUUAUAUAUAUAUAUAUAUAUAUAUAAAACAACUGGGUGUCCCUGUCCCCGUCCCUUUUGGGAAGUGAAACCUCACAUCUUUCAAAGAUCUAAGUAAAAUGAGAAAAAAAGGAUUGGGGUAGGCUUAUCCUUGAGUAUGUAUUUGACUAUCUUUCUAUUGAAGGUGAAUGAUAUUCAGCAUUUAGUGAAGUUGUGUAUUGUGUGCUUAGUGUGUAAUUAGUUAUAUGUGUAAACUGUCAAACCCUACUAAGAUCAAGAGUAUCCCAAAAUAGGAAAGACGCUUAGCAUGAAGAUUAGUUUGCCUCGACCAAAAAUAUCAUUCAUAAGUGGUAUUUUCAAAUAAUCUAUUUUUUAGAGAUCAAAAAUUUGCCUCGAACAAAAAUAUCAUUCAUAAGUGGUAUUUUCAAAUAAUCUAUUUUUUAGAGAUCAAGAAGUUAAUUUGUAUAUGGAGUUUCAUUUAUUGAUAAAAGGUCAUUCCAACAAGUUUGGGGCAUUUAGUUUUCACCUACUAGGAAAUCGUGCUCAAAAAUCAUCUUUAGUUUAGAUUCUUCAUACUAUUUUUUAUUUAUUUUUAUUUUUUUACAUUUCUUCGUUAUUUAUGUCCUUCCUAUUUGUUUUUCGUUUUGUAUUUUUUGUCCAAGUAAAACCUCAAACCAACAAAAGAAUUUAGCCAUGGCUCAUUUCAAAUUGCCUUCUUUUUUUUCUUUGUUUUUUUCUUUUUGAGAGAGCUUCAUUAAAAACCCACAAAAUGCAGUGGGGACACCCUCU